CGGGGGAUCCUUGAGUUUUUUUAAGGACCUCGCGCUAAAAGAUGAGCCUGCGUCGGAUUAGUUAGUUGGUGGGGUAAUAGCCCACCAAGACGAUGAUCCGUAGCUGGUCUGAGAGGAUGAUCAGCCACACUGGGACUGAGACACGGCCCAGACUCCUAUGGGAGGCAGCAGUGGGGAAUAUUGGACAAUGGGGGAAACCCUGAUCCAGCAAUGCCGCGUGUGUGAAGAAGGCCUUCGGGUUGUAAAGCACUUUCAGCAGGAAAGAAAGUCUUAAAGUUAAUACCUUUAAUGAGUUGACGUUACCUGCAGAAGAAGCACUGGCUAACUCUGUGCCAGCAGCCGCGGUAAUACAGAGAGUGCAAGCGUUAAUCGGAAUUACUGGGCGUAAAGCGCGCGUAGGUGGAUAUUAAAGUCGGGUGUGAAAGCCCCGAGCUUAACUCGGGAAUUGCGUUCGAUACUGAGUAUCUAGAGUAUAGUAGAGGGAAGUGGAAUUUCCGGUGUAGCGGUGAAAUGCGUAGAUAUCGGAAGGAACACCAGUGGCGAAGGCGGCUUCCUGGACUAAUACUGACACUGAGGUGCGAAAGCGUAGGGAGCAAACAGGAUUAGAUACCCUGGUAGUC
rnacentral:rRNA from 1 species